UACGUAGGGUGCAAGCGUUGUCCGGAAUUAUUGGGCGUAAAGAGCUCGUAGGCGGUUUGUCGCGUCUGCCGUGAAAGUCCGGGGCUCAACUCCGGAUCUGCGGUGGGUACGGGCAGACUAGAGUGAUGUAGGGGAGACUGGAAUUCUCGGUGUAGCGGUGAAAUGCGUAGAUAUCGAGAGGAACACCUGCGGCGAAGGCGGGUUGCUGGGCUGACACUGACGCUGAGGCGCGAAAGCUAGGGGAGCGAACGGG
rnacentral:rRNA from 1 species